AAUAAAGUGGCUGAGUACAAAGGCGGUGAAUUGUAAAUUCAUAAACAAGUAAUACUUCUUUAUUA
rnacentral:tRNA from 1 species